rnacentral:lncRNA from 1 species
UUUAAUUUAAUAGGACCGAGUUGGACCAAAAUUCAUCAAUUUGAAUUUUACUAAAAUUAUACAUACAAGCCCAUGUCUGUUGUCUCUGUGCCUCCAUCAACCUAACGGGAAGCACUUCCAUAUCUACUCGAAAUUGAACCUAAAAGGACUCCUGUAAGAGAUGAGAAGACAGAAAAAGUCUUAAACUUUAACGAAAUUUGUAAGGAGACGAAGAGAGAGAGAGGGAGAAUAAGAGGAGGGAGUGAGGAGAACCUGAACAGCUUAUGUGUCUAGAUCCGGUCAAGCGUAAACCCUAGAUUUUGG